GUGACAGCAGCCGCGGUAAUACGGGGGGUGCAAGCGUUGUUCGGAAUUACUGGGCGUAAAGCGCGUGUAGGCGGCCCUGCAAGUCAGAUGUGAAAGCCCUCGGCUUAACCGGGGAAGUGCAUCUGAAACUGCUUGGCUUGAGUACUGGAGAGGAAGGCGGAAUUCCCAGUGUAGAGGUGAAAUUCGUAGAUAUUGGGAGGAACACCGGUGGCGAAAGCGGCCUUCUGGACAGAUACUGACGCUGAGACGCGAAAGCGUGGGGAGCAAACAGGAUUAGAAACCCCAGUAGUCC
rnacentral:rRNA from 1 species